CAGCAAACUCUAGUCUCCAUCAUAAUGGUUUUGGUUUAAUGAUCAGUCAAUAACGUCACCGGCUGGCAGCUGCAGAAGAUUGUUGAGCUGAGCAAGUCCAUGGGACUCAACAAGUGAAUAUCUCUUCAGGUGCGCCAUAUUUGGUUUUACAACAGUCCGUCUUUGUUCUAAGAUAUAUUUGCCGAACAUCGGUUAUAUUUUGCACUGCACAAGCCCGCUGUAAAAACAGGUCCUCCUAUUGUGAGUAUUGUGAAUAUGAGGAAAAAAACACCCGCAUGGGCGAAGAGUAUACGCCUGGUGGCCUGUGGCUUGCUUGUUUGUUUUACAUACCCCCUCAGCGACACCCCAGUAGGGUUUUUAGAGGGUAACGAAGACGAAGUCGCUUUACACUAGGUUUUUAUGAGACGUCUUGGCCAAGACCGUCUCAAGACCGUCUCAGCCAAGACGUCUCAGCCACAGUGUAAAGAGCGAUUUAGCGGUCUCAAGACCAGAUUCCUGCUGUGCGUCUUGAGACCACAUCAGAUGUGGCCUCAAGACGCUCAGCGGGAGUGCCAAGACGCACAGCAGGAGUGCCAAGACCCAUUUUUUACUGUGUAAAGAGAACGGUCUCAGAAAAUUCGUCUCAGAGCCUGUUCAGAGCCAACUUCAGAGCGGUAUUUGUAGGUCAAAGGGUAUAUAUCAUUGAGCCUACCAAGUGCGAUCUCUACAGCAUUUUGGAUCUGUGUUUACUAGGAGGUUUUUUUUCAUUAUAAAUUUUUCUUUCUUAUUUUCGACACCUUUUUUACCUCUUUGAACAGGAACAGUUUUUUCCUGAUAGUAGUUGGAGUCCACUACAAUCCAACUUUUCAUAUUUCCCCUGCAUUUGUGGAAAAACUACCAACUUAUUACGGAGGAAAGUGUGUGGUUAAAUGCAACGCAAAAAUCACCCACAAUUGAAUUGUACCUACAGAUCAUUCAAACGGACUGCUGUGCCGUGGAAUAUUACAAUCGUGGGCAAAAUGUUAAGGUUUAUUAAAAGAUAAUCAACAUAAGAAAAGUACUUUCCUAUUGACUUCAGGCGGAGUAUAACCUGGUGUGCCGUGGGAUAGAGUGGGAGCUGGCCGACGUCUGCAGGCGGGAGGGUAUCGGUAUCAUCCCGUGGAGCCCGCUCAAAGGAGGUCUGCUGACUGGGAAGUACAAAAGAGAAGAUGGCACACCCGAGGGAAGCAGAAUCUCACACGCCACAAAGAAGGGAAUCGACCUCGAGGCGAUCCCACACUUCGAGGGGAUUAAAAAAGAUGACAAGACCUGGAAGAUCAUUGAUGCCACGAAAAAUGCAGCUAGGGCUCAUGGUAAAACCCCGGCGCAGGUUGCAAUCCGCUGGCUGCUACAGAAAGACGUGGUGUCGUCUGUCAUCAUUGGCGCGAAAACUCUUCAGCAGCUGGAGGACAACAUGGGCGCCGCCACUGGCUGGGAGAUCACGGAGGAACAGAUGGCUAAGCUCGACACUGUUAGCCAGAUGGAACCAACCUACCCGUACAGACUGCUCACAAUGAUGAACAUCGACAGGGUGAGGAAGAACCUGUGCCAGUAGUUUACCUGACACUACAAACGGCGUUGCCGUCAUGGCUUCACCUGAAAGCUGUCGAGAUAAGCAGUUAUCUGCUAUACAAGUAACAUUGCUGUAGUCCAUGGGCCAGGACCCCAAAAUUCAAAUAUUAGUACCCUCUA